CGGAAGUCAAAAAUAUUGUACAAGAUGAUAAGAUAUGUUGUAUGAUUGUUGGAACUGAUAUGUUAAAAAAUGAAUAAAAAUGUGUGUGUGUGUAUGUAUGUAUAUGUGUGUGUGUGUGUGUGUGUGUAUAUAUAUAUGAGAAAGCGUUCCGAAGCAAUGCUGACAGCAGGAUUCUCAUUCCUCUGUUUUUCCCUCUCUUCCGCUCCGA